CAAUGCCGGGAGGACGACCAACAGGGAUUGCCUCAGUAACGGCGAGUGAAGCGGCAACAGCUCAAAUUUGAAAUCUGGCCCUCGGGUCCGAGUUGUAAUUUGUAGAGGAUGCUUUUGGCGCGGUGCCUUCCGAGUUCCCUGGAACGGGACGCCUUAGAGGGUGAGAGCCCCGUACGGUUGGACACCAAGCCUCUGUAAAGCUCCUUCGACGAGUCGAGUAGUUUGGGAAUGCUGCUCUAAAUGGGAGGUAAAUUUCUUCUAAAGCUAAAUAUUGGCCAGAGACCGAUAGCGCACAAGUAGAGUGAUCGAAAGAUGAAAAGCACUUUGAAAAGAGGGUUAAAUAGCACGUGAAAUUGUUGAAAGGGAAGCGUUUGCGACCAGACCUUUUCCUGGCGGAUCAUCCGGUGUUCUCACCGGUGCACUUCGCCAGGUCGAGGCCAGCAUCGGUUUCCGCGGGGGGAUAAAAGCUCUGGGAACGUAGCUCCUCCGGGAGUGUUAUAGCCCUCUGCACAAUACCCCCGCGGGGACCGAGGACCGCGCUCUAAGCAAGGAUGCUGGCGUAAUGGUUGUCAACGACCCGUCUUGAAACACGGACCAAGGAGUCGAACAUUUGUGCGAGUGUUUGGGUGUCAAACCCUCACGCGUAAUGAAGGUGAACGUAGGUGAGAGCCCUUACGGGUGCAUCAUCGACCGAUCCUGAUGUCUUCGGAUGGAUUUGAGUAAGAGCAUAACUGUUCGGACCCGAAAGAUGGUGAACUAUGCGUGGAUAGGGUGAAGCCAGAGGAAACUCUGGUGGAGGCUCGCAGCGGUUCUGACGUGCAAAUCGAUCGUCAAAUCUGCGCAUGGGGGCGAAAGACUUAUCGAACCAUCUAGUAGCUGGUUACCGCCGAAGUUUCCCUCAGAUAGCAGUGUUGUUCUUCAGUUUUAUGAGUAAAGCGAAUGAUUAGGGACUCGGGGGCGCUUUUUUGCCUUCAUCCAUUCUCAAACUUUAAAUAUGUAGAAGCCCUUGUUACUUAAUUGAACGUGGGCAUUCGAAUGUACCAACACC
rnacentral:rRNA from 1 species